AUGCGUGUUGCAAUAUAUAAGUAUUUUUUGUUAUUAUUGUAUUUGGGGUUGUGUUUACCUAUCAAAACGAUGCCCUAUCCUAAAAGCGAGCAUGAAUUCGAUAACCCUUUGAACAUAGUACACAUUGAGUCGGACCGUAAUCCUUUAACGCCUGAUUGGAGUUCGCGAGGAGAUUUAAACUAUAGGAAAGAUGAGUUCAAUUUGAAUCUGCACAAUCCAGAAGAUACCACGUGGAUGCACAAAUCUUCUAAUAAUAGCGAACAAAUAGUUAAUUUAUACAAAAACAGUAAUCCAUUUGGUUUUGACGAAGCCAAGAUUGAUUUGACUCCGACAGAGUAUUUUCAGAAUAGUUGGAAACAUACUGAGCAUACUGAGGCACCGAAUCAAUCUAGGCCUAAACAUGUCUUUAAUUACUUGAAGGAAAAUGCUCUCGAAUAUUCACGGACACCUCCAAACGACGAAAAGCAAGCUUUACACAGUAGUACUGCUGUGCCUAAUACGCUAAAUUCAGAUAGAGAGACACAUAGAAGCUCUUAUGGUCUUCGUAGAUCCAAUAGACACAGUUA